rnacentral:rRNA from 1 species
AUUGAACGCUGGCGGCAUGCCUUACACAUGCAAGUCGAACGGCAGCACGGGAGCAAUCCUGGUGGCGAGUGGCGAACGGGUGAGUAAAGUAUCGGAACGUGCCCAGUCGUGGGGGAUAACGUAGCGAAAGUUACGCUAAUACCGCAUACGAUCUAUGGAUGAAAGCGGGGGAUCGCAAGACCUCGCGCGAUUGGAGCGGCCGAUAUCAGAUUAGGUAGUUGGUGGGGUAAAGGCUCACCAAGCCGACGAUCUGUAGCUGGUCUGAGAGGACGACCAGCCACACUGGGACUGAGACACGGCCCAGACUCCUACGGGAGGCAGCAGUGGGGAAUGUUGGACAAUGGGCGAAAGCCUGAUCCAGCAAUGCCGCGUGCAGGAAGAAGGCCUUCGGGUUGUAAACUGCUUUUGUACGGAGCGAAAAGGCUCUCUCUAAUACAGGGGGCUCAUGACGGUACCGUAAGAAUAAGCACCGGCUAACUACGUGCCAGCAGCCGCGGUAA